rnacentral:rRNA from 1 species
UACAGAGGUCUCAAGCGUUGUUCGGAUUCAUUGGGCGUAAAGAGCGUGUAGGCGGCCAGAUAAGUCCGCUGUGAAAUCUCGAGGCUCAACUUCGAGCUGUCGGUGGAAACUGUCUGGCUAGAGUCCGGAAGAGGAGAAUGGAAUUCCUGGUGUAGCGGUGAAAUGCGCAGAUAUCAGGAGGAACACCGAUGGCGAAGGCAGCUCUCUGGGCCUGUUCUGACGCUGAGGAGCGAAAGCUGGGGGAGCGAACAGG